GGUGCAAUGGGUAAGAGAGAAAGGAUGCUGAACUCGCAUGUCACUCCCUUGUAGGAGAGGCAAAGCACCCAAGACCCGCUCUGGGGUGGUGAUAUUGACACAUCUUCUGUGACUGGAGUGACUCAGUCACAACAAAGAGGCUUUGGAAAGCUACUUUGUUUGGGUGCUGUGGGUGCUGGUGCUCGUCUCAAACCAUGAAGGGCUGGUUGUCAUGGCUGCCAAACUGUCCUCGGUUUAGAUGGAGCUGCAGGGCUUCAGCACUUCAAGCUACUUCUCUGCUACCCAAUUACAUGGUGCCAGGGGGACAUUCCCAGACAUUAAGACUGAGUCAUCAAUACUCUUAAACUGUUAGGAUGUCUGAAACAUGUCUGUGGUCCUUCAGAUGUUUCCUAGGCAUGGCCUGGAAGCCAGAAGGGUCUGGAGACCAUUCUUGGUGGGCAUUUGAGAUGAAACUGCCUUGGUUUGGCAGAAAAGAAGGUUGAAUAGUUUGGAUGUGGAAUAUCCCAUGCUGGCCAGACUCAGUGCCAGAGGACAAACCUGGGCAUGUCUGAUGCACUGUUAUAGACAUAGCCUCGGUGUCUCCAGCUGCCUGUCUUUAGGAUAGAGGGCCCUUUUAUUUAACAGAGGGGUUACAAAGGAUUGCAUAGUGCUUUAAAGGUCAUUGCUUCUGUUGACUGUUCAACUAAAUAUAAUACAGCGUGGCUUGACUGGAGCUGGUAAGGAAGGAGGUGGGUGAAAACACUCAUCUGGUUGCUUCCUCAUAUGUGAGGGAAGGAUGUGUCUGAAUUAGAAGUGGGUAAGCUGUGUUUACCUGUGUUUCCUUCUGGCUACAAAGCUAACUUUUACCUUGUUCUAUUCCUUCUGGUCACAACAGUGACAAAGCUAACUUUUACCUUGUUCUAUUCCUGACAUGCCUUUCAUUCACGUCUUUAUCAAAUAUCCCCACAAACUAAUGUUGAAUCCCCUACUUCGUUAGGCACAGCAGAAAACCUCAAGCCCAUCUUGUUGCCUGUGGACAGGCUGGGCACAUUGUCAGGACUAGUUUAUCCAGUUGCAGACUAACAGUCCUCCAGGCAGUUUGCUCCUUACCUCAUUACUUUGUCACUGACUGAAUUCCUGCAGUAAAUCUUUGUGCUUUGUCAUUUUACUGGAAGUCAUGUUGCUUCACCUUUACCUUCAGAGACAGCGAUGCCAGUCUCAGAGAGAUGACUUGCAGCAACCUUGCAGUGAUAUAUAUCUUCCACUUGCUGAUAUCCAGGUAGCUGUGCCAUCUCCAGAAUGAACUCUGUACCAGGCAGGCUGCCCAUGGCUUUCACUUGGAAAUCCCCCCAUUCCUAACCUUAAAGCAUCCUAUGCCAGUGAAUGCUGUUGGUACGCUGCCCUCUGAACGUUCUCAAAAAGCCAAGAGCUUAUCAGCGACAGUGGGGCAGAACAGAGUUCAGGUUACUGCCACCCUCCAGGAGCAGGCUGGGCAGAUUCACCUCCAGUAUCAACGUACCUCGCUUGCCAUCUCCUUGGAAAAUCUACUUCUGACCAAAAGACCUAGUAACUAUUUUGAACAAAACAGCAUUUCCCUUUUAGUUUUGCCUUUUAAGUGUGAAACCGUUGCAUUUGUAGAAUGCUUUGACCUGAGAAGUAAAAGUUUCUGCUGAAAAUGGCUCUGUGAUUUUACACCUGUGAUUCAGAGCAAAACCUGGGAAGAACACUGAAGGAACAACACACUGGGUGUAUGAAUCCACAUUCCCACCACAGAUGUGGAUAACAUGAUGGCUUCAUAAACACAGAAUUGUAGAAUUUUAGAAUAGUUAAGGUUGGAAAGACCUCUAAGAUCACCUAAUCCAACCAUCAGCCUGCCACCGUCAUGCCCACAGGCCACAUCCCUCAGUGCCACAUCUCCAUGGAUGUCUUCAACAUCUCCAGGGAUGGUGACUCCACCACAACUCUGUCUGGCAUUCAGUGCUCCCUGCAAGCACUUGACAGCCCUUUGCAUUGCUGCCUUUAUCUGCACACUGGAGGCCAACCUGCUGCCUGAAAGAAAAUCACUCUCAAAAUCACAGUGCCAGGGGAGCCUUCUUAGGAACACCGUAUUCAGGAUCCUUAUGAUCCCAGUCAGUGAUUUCCAAUGCACAGGAAUGCACAUAGAGGAUCUUCCUCUCUCAGGUUCACUGCUCUCCAAUGCAAGCCUGCAGCUGCAGUCCUCAGUUUGGGCUCUGUUGGUGGCACUGCACCGGCUGCUGGCUGCUGGCCCUCCCGGGCAGUGCUUUCCUGUACCUCCCCUCAUCACCUUGCUUGUGAGCCCAAGUCCUGACCUACAGGAUGCCAUGAUGAUCCUGCAUCACCUCCACUAGGGACAUGUUAAAUAUGCAGAAGCUGCGUCACCUCCCUUGACAGACAACUGUGGAGAUGUUUUUUGCAUGUGGGGCUGCCUAAGAGUCUGCAGACAGCUGGAGCCAGCCCGGAGCUCCCAGAAAUCACGAGGGAAGCCAGGCUGUGCAGCCACCUCCCAAGGAUAUCACAAGUCCCUGCUGGGUGCAUGCGUGGUGCUGUGAGGACCUCUCUUUGUGCAGGGCCAUUGCUCUGAGAGUGCUUCCCCUGCUGCUAUUGCAGCUCUCUGCAAGACUUCAUAUUUCUCAAGUGAUUUCCUUCCAGCCCCACAUUUGCGAAUGCUGAGGGCUGUGGCAAUUGAGUGAUCGAGCAUUCUCCCUGCCAGUGUUUUCUGCCCGGGCCUCGUGCUAACCCUCGGGGUUAUCAGAAAAGCCUUUUGUCAGACGUCAGCUGGGGCAGGAAUUGGCACGGAGACAGUGCUGCAAUACUGGAAGGAGUUGCACUUGUACUGGCAAAGGUGGAGAAUGAAGCCGUGGCAUUUAUGAUGCAUCAUCUCGCACAUGGUCACAGUGCCUGACGGUGCAAAGAAUUGCGGCUGUAAAAUUGCCCACAGCAGCUGAGCAUCCACUUUGCCUUGCCUCAUCCUCACGAUGCAGGACACUUUCAAGGAGCAGUUUCUCUCUGGUUUAACAGCCUGCAGGACUGCUCAGCUGCAUCUUGCAGAGAAUGCUUGACCAUGAGAUCCCACCCCCACACCCAUGGGGUGCGUGCACACAAAAAUGGGGCCACAUCCAUCAGGUAUGGACUAGAUGGGAGGCUGGAGGACAGCCCUCUAGAAGAAAGGAAGCCAUAAGUAGAGCUGCCUCCUUGCAUGGUGCCGCCUCCAAGAACCCCCAGGGCAGUGGCACAGCUCAGCUGCAACCCCCACCAGACCCUUGGGGCACAGCUACAGAGACUGAUGGAAAAUGAAACUUCAGCCCUGCUGGCAGCCACCCAGUUUCAACAAUUUUUUGUUUCAUUCUUGAAAGAAGGCAAAGGGGGAAGCUUUGUUUUCUCUCGAGCUUCUCAGAAAUGCUUAUUUGGGAAUGGGACAUUUUCAAAUGUCGUAUUUGGAUGGAAAAUGCCUUAUCUAGUAAUAAUAGUUAAUCUUCCUCCAGUCUGAGAUGCCUGAAAACAUCCCACUUGGCUCUCCUCCAUGCAGUGGACGGCUGACUCCCAGCCCUGCUUAAUGCAUGGGGGGACAUGGGGAGUAUGGGUUGCCCAGAAGCACUUGGGAAGGGGCUUGUUCCCAUGCUGUGCUUUGAAAGCAGUGAUCAAACCCUGAUGGAUUAAAUGCUCAGUGUGUUCCUGAGACUGGGCUGCAGCCCCCCAUAUAACCAUGAGUAAGAUACAGGCAAUUAAUGAUCUGCCAGGGGUGUUCCUCGACUCCCCGUCCUGUUACCAAAUCCUGUGUUACUCACUAGACCACACAUCCUCCCUCCUCUCUGAGUGGCAUCCGAGCAGCCUGGUCAGGGCGCAGUGUGCACAGCGAUGUCACCUCACAUUUAUCUAGGGAGAAGUUUCCCACACUCCUUCGUGGCUCUUCUUGUUUUGCUUCAGAGAUUUUGUUUUCCUGAAGAGUUAAAAUAAAUCUCAAACUGCGACUGCAGCACUUUUUUUUGAGCGCAGUGUUUGUUUGCUAGAUAAUCCUUUGAGGGAAGCAUUAAAAAGCAGCGUGGCGUCUUUGUCAUCAGUCCGGAGUCAUCUGAACAAGGCUGGCCAAGGGCUGUAAAUGUGGUGUGGCAUUUAUGCAUGACAGAAAGCACUUUCCAUCUCUCGGAGCUUGACUGCCAUUUCUCUUCCUUCUGGCCAUGAACUGCUGCUCACGGGCUUUCUCUGAUCCAGCGAGACACUGCGGCAAUGGCAGAGCACAACUGUUGUUCUGCUCACUCUGUGCUGCUUCAGAAGUGAUCUCAGACAGAGGACACCUUCAUCUCCUCUGGCCACAACACGGGGAGAUCUUUCACUGAGAGGGCAGUGAGGCGCUGGCACAGCUGCCCAUAGAAGCUGUGGUGCCCCAUCCCUGGAGGCACUCAA